rnacentral:rRNA from 1 species
GACGAACGCUGGCGGCGUGCCUAAUACAUGCAAGUAGAACGCACAGUUUAUACGGUAGCUUGCUACACCAUAGACUGUGAGUUGCGAAGGGGUGAGUAACGCGUAGGUAACCUGCCGGGAGGCGGGGGAUAACUAUUGGAAACGAUAGCUAAUACGGAAUAAUAUUAAUUAUGGAUUGAUAAUUAAUUGAAAGGUGCAAUUGAACAACUACCAGUGGGACCGGCGUUGUAUUAGCUAGUAGGUGAGGUAAGGGCUCACCUAGGCGACGAUACAUAGCCGACCUGAGGGGGUGAUCGGCCACACUGGGACUGAGACACGGCCCAGACUCCUACGGGAGGCAGCAGUAGGGAAUCUUCGGCAAUGGACGAAAGUCUGACCGAGCAACGCCGCGUGAGUGAAGAAGGGUUUCGGAUCGUAAAGCUCUGUUGUAAGAGAAGAACGGGUGUGAGAGUGGAAAGUUCACACUGUGACGGUAUCUUACCAGAAAGGGACGGCUAACUACGUG